UACGGAGGGAGCUAGCGUUAUUCGGAAUUACUGGGCGUAAAGCGCACGUAGGCGGCUUUGUAAGUAAGAGGUGAAAGCCCAGAGCUCAACUCUGGAAUUGCCUUUUAGACUGCAUCGCUUGAAUCAUGGAGAGGUCAGUGGAAUUCCGAGUGUAGGGGUGAAAUUCGUAGAUAUUCGGAAGAACACCAGUGGCGAAGGCGGCUGACUGGACAUGUAUUGACGCUGAGGUGCGAAAGCGUGGGGAGCAAACAGG
rnacentral:rRNA from 1 species